GACGAACGCUGGCGGCGUGCUUAACACAUGCAAGUCGAACGGAAAGGCCCUGCAUCUGUGGGGUGCUCGAGUGGCGAACGGGUGAGUAACACGUGAGUAACCUGCCCUUGACCCUGGGAUAACUUCAGUAAAUUGGGGCUAAUACCGGAUAGGAGCUCCUGCUGCAUGGUGGGGGUUGGAAAGUUUCGGCGGGUGGUGAUGGACUCGCGGGAUAUCAGCUUGUUGGUGGGGUAGGGGCCUACCAAGGCUUUGACGGCUAGGCGGCCAGUGAGGGUGAGCCGGCGCGGUGGAACUGCGAUACUGGGAAGGAGCCUCCGGCAGGCAGCAUAAGGGAGGAAGCGGUGGGGAGUGAGGGCCUGUGCGAGGAAGGCUGCGGGAGCAAUGCCGGGCGUCGGAUGUGUAACCUGGGGUUGUAAGCGAAGUACAAGUCUGAGGGAGCGAGAGUGACGGUAAUGGGUAAAGAAGCACCGGCUAACUACGUG
rnacentral:rRNA from 1 species